rnacentral:rRNA from 1 species
UUAGCAUGGAAUAAUAGAAUAGGACCAGUGGUUCUGUUUUGUUGGUUUCGGAGCCGCGGUAAUGAUUAAUAGGGACAGUUGGGGGCAUUUGUAUCUCGCAGCUAGAGGUGAAAUUCUUGGAUUUGCGAGCGACAAACUUAUGCGAAAGCAUCUGCCAAGGAUGUUUUCAUUGAUCAAGAACGAAAGUUAGGGGAUCGAAGACGAUUAGAUACCGUCGUAGUCUUAACCAUAAACGAUGCCGACUAGGGAUCAGGCGAUGUUGUUUACUGACUCGCUUGGCACCUUUGGAGAAAUCAAAGUAGGGUUCUGGGGGGAGUAUAGUCGCAAGGCCGAAACUUAAAGGAAUUGACGGAAGGGCACCACCAGGAGUGGAGCCUGCGGCUUAAUUUGACUCAACACGGGGAAACUCACCAGGUCCAGACAUGAAAAGGAUUGACAGAUUGAAAGCUCUUUCUUGAUUUUAUGGGUGGUGGUGCAUGGCCGUUCUUAGUUGGUGGAGUGAUUUGUCUGCUUAAUUGCGAUAACGAACGAGACCUUAACCUGCUAACUAGCGAUGGUCAGCCGCAAGGCUGGCUAGACCGCUUCUUAGAGGGACUAUUGGCGUUUAGCCAAUGGAAGUUUGAGGCAAUAACAGGUCUGUGAUGCCCUUAGAUGUUUUGGGCCGCACGCGCGCUACACUGACAAAGCCAGCGAGUAUAUAGCCUUGGCCGUAAGGUCCGGGUAAUCUUGUUAAACUUUGUCGUGCUGGGGAUAGAGCAUUGCAAUA